rnacentral:rRNA from 1 species
UCCAUGCCGUAAACGUUGGGAACUAGAUGUAGGGACCAUUCCACGGUUUCUGUGUCGCAGCUAACGCAUUAAGUUCCCCGCCUGGGGAGUACGGCCGCAAGGCUAAAACUCAAAGGAAUUGACGGGGGCCCGCACAAGCGGCGGAGCAUGCGGAUUAAUUCGAUGCAACGCGAAGAACCUUACCAAGACUUGACAUAUACGAGAACGGGCUAGAAAUAGUCCACUCUUUGGAC